CGACGCCGCGGGUAACACCGGCAGCUCUAGUGGUAGCAGUUUAUGGGCCUAAAGCGUCCGUAGCCGGUUUAAUAAGUCUCUGGUGAAAUCCUGUAGCUUAACUGUGGGAAUUGCUGGAGAUACUAUUAGACUUGAGACCGGGAGAGGUUAGAGGUACUCCCAGGGUAGAGGUGAAAUUCUGUAAUCCUGGGAGGACCGCCUGUUGCGAAGGCGUCUAACUGGAACGGUUCUGACGGUGAGGGACGAAAGUUAGGGGCGCGAAACCGGAUUAGAUACCCGGGUAGUCCUAACCGUAAACGAUGCGGACUUGGUGUUGGGGUGGCUUUGAGCUGCUCCAGUGCCGAAGGGAAGCUGUUAAGUCCGCCGCCUGGGAAGUACGGUCGCAAGACUGAAACUUAAAGGAAUUGGCGGGGAGCACCACAACGCGUGGAGCCUGCGGUUUAAUUUGGAUUCAACGCCGGACAUCUCACCAGAGGCGACAGCUGUAUGAUAGCCAGGCUGAUGACUUUGCUUGACUAGCUGAGAGGAGUGGUGCAUGG
rnacentral:rRNA from 1 species